GAAUCGCGAUAGGAAUUGCGAAUUGCAGAAUUCAGUGAAUCAUCGUAACUUUGAACGCAAACUGCGCCUUUGGGUUGACCGAAGGCAUGCCUCUUUGAGUGUCGGUCAAAUUUUUUGAAAUUUUCAAAAAUUGAGAGUCGGAAGUCUCUUAAAGUAUGAGUGCAUAAACUUGUGAGGCGUUGCUUUGGGAAUUUGAAUGGAGCUGUAAAGGAUUCAUGCAUACCCAAAGUUUGUCGAUCAAGUGCGAUUCAGUGUUUACACAAUUGCUUGACCAUCGACCUCAAAUGAGGUAAGACUACCCGCUGAACUUAA
rnacentral:misc_RNA from 1 species